rnacentral:lncRNA from 1 species
ACGCAUGCGCUCCACCCCUCCCUCUGUCACGGUGCCACUGGCUUUCUGUCACGCUCCCCAUUUCUGUCCCAAGGGUUACAGGAACUUAAAUGCAGUCCUCCGGUGGGUAUCCUGGGAAGCUAUUCUGUGCAGCACCACGCCGCCACCGGUGACUCCUCUUCCUCCCUCCACCUGCUCUGUGCUCUACAGACAACCGUUAGUCCCUGACUGCUUCCGGCCCCAGGUAGGCCUGCCUUUCAGUUCACCGGAGCUCUCCUGCCGGGAGUCACGGACAAACACCCUCUUCGCUGGGAACUGGAUGCAAAUAUGGGCAGGUGUGAACCCUAGAUGUGAAUUUGAGCCCGUUGGAAGGUACGUUUCUAAGGCGCAAGCCCAUUCUGAAGGAUCGCCCAGGACACGUCUUCCCUGGAGACCCCCACGGUAGCAGACGCUUGCCUCCUGAAGGGUUGAAGACAGGAACACACUGAAUAAAUAAAUACCCUGAAGGUCA